rnacentral:rRNA from 1 species
GGAUUAGAUACCCUGGUAGUCCACGCCGUAAACGAUGUAUGCUAGUUGUUGGGGUCUUAAGGCCUCAGUGACGCAGAGAAAUCAUCAAGCAUACCGCCUGGGGAGUACGGCCGCAAGGUUAAAACUCAAAGGAAUUGACGGGGACCCGCACAAGCGGUGGAGCAUGUUGUUUAAUUCGAAGCAACGCGAAGAACCUUACCCACACUUGACAUCCUUCUUGGGACUUUCAGAGAUGAUUGUCUUCGGUUCGGCCGGGGAAGUGACAGGUGCUGCAUGGCUGUCGUCAGCUCGUGCCG